CGUGUACAAGGAGAAUACAUGCCUUUUCAUGUCUGGAUGUGAGAAAGAUAUACGUAAACAUAUAAUGACUGCAUGGCCGUUGACUGUAGGCGUGGGCGAUCGAAUUUCCAGCCAAUCAAAGAUCGAGAACGCAACCACAUGACCCGAAGGCAACCGCAGAUAAAAGCACGUGACGUCAUCCGUUGUUUACCCACAGAAGUGAGACUGUCGAGGCGCGUGCAAUUUCUGUGAAAGCACAAGACAAUGGCCACUGACAUUGAAAGGCUGGUUUUGUUCGAAGAGGCGACCUAUGACCAGUAUGAUUAUUACAACCUAGAUGAAUAUCCCUGUCAUGCUGGAGGAAAAGGAAGAACUAAGAAAGAAAUCGGAUUAAACACAAACCGCCAUUGUCCUGCAGGACAUGAGAGAAAAAUCGCAGAAAAAUUCCGUAACAGUGAAUUGAAGAGGAAGAGAACCAAAAGCGCUUGAACGAUGUAUAACUGAACCAGGAAAACCCGCACUGGAAACGACUUGAGAACCGGAUCGUGGUCUAAAAUGUUUGUUGAGCCUUUUCCUCCCAUGUUGAACUAGAAUGCGCGCACGCGCGCCACUGACGCACCUGAAGCCUCGUGAGCGCGCAUCCCCGAUUCCGCGUUCCCGCUUCUGGGCACGGAUCUGUCCGCUGGAGUCAGGUUGCAGCUGUGCACACGAAUAGCCUUGUUUUGCUUGGGUGUUGGCUCAAUUUUAAAGGUGUUCUUAAGCAGCGUGUCGUCGUUAUGUCUUUUUAAACGUUGUGUUGGUGUUUAGAAAUCACUUGAAUAACAAUAAACACUGAUUUAAAUUGUUGGUA